AUCAUCAUCAAUCCCAAUGGCGCUUGUAAUGAUCAUGGUGUCUGUGAGUCUGGCUGUGUUGGUGUUCACUGUCAUCCUGUUCACCAUCUACAGAUGGAAAUGUAACAAGGUGCAAGGGGGACCAGGACUAUGAGAAUGACCCUGCUACAGACACCAUGGUUUAUAUAGGAACAGAUGAUGCUGUCUACCAAACCCUGAACUCCAACAAUGCAAUCCAAGAUUCAACUUACCAAACCCUGAAUCCCAACACUGUAAACCAAGAUUCAACUUACCAAACCCUGAAUCCCAACACUGUAAACCAAGAUUCAACUUACCAAACCCUGAACACCAACACUGUAAACUAAGAUUCAACUUACCACAACCUGAAC
ensembl:lncRNA